rnacentral:rRNA from 1 species
AAGCGCUUGCAAUCAGACUUGCACUGCGUCGAUCAACCUGGGUUUUCCCUGGUGCACUCGGCGUAGUUCAGGCCAGCAUCAGUUCUGGCGGUUGGAUAAAGGCUUGGAGAACGUGGGUUGCUUCGGCGACUGUUAUAGCUCCAGGUGCAAUGCAGCCAGCUGGGACUGAGGACCGCGCUUCGGCUAGGAUGCUGGCGUAAUGGUUGUAAGCGA